GCUGGAAUGGCCGAGUGGUCUAAGGCGGUGGUUUUAAGCACCACUCUCGAAAGAGGCGGGAGUUCAAACCUCCCUUCCAGCA